UGUUCUUCGUUUCACUUCGAUCGGUGGAGACGAUCCAGUUUCUGUAACUGAAUUCGUUGUUAUUGCUAGGUCUUUAAUCCUCUGUUUUUAAUUCUAAUCAAUUGAUUUGUUCAGUCGGUGUUAUCGUGUAUAAAUAGGUCGGUACAUCUCUUCUGCGAAUGUUGAUCUUCACAUCUCUCUGUUACACAUCUCUAGAUCUGAAGAAAGUUUUCAUGGCUACCGCUUCUGUCAUAUAUGACUCAGUGACCUUCUCCAUCUUACAUGUUACACUUGGAAACCUUCCACCAUAUUGCUUCGUCUCCUUCUUGACGAUCGUUUCAUCAUCAGUGUUGGUCACUGAACGCAAAAGCGACAGCUACGGUGAUUUAAAAAGUGACAUAAAGUUUUGAGAAGGAGGCAGUACAAGAGCAUGAAGGAGAGAGGAGGAUAUUCCCAAAGGCAAGAAAAGGAUUCUAAAAAAGAAGAGAGUCUGUUCUUCAGUCGUCUACAUGAUGAUUUUUACUUAUCGCAAAUAAUAAAGGCAACUUAUAUCUGAACUCCACACUAGCAACAAAUUUUACUUUGACACCAACAUUGCUGCCAUCAAAAAGGUCGCAAGCAGAUAUGUUUCUGUGCAGUGCAGCAGGAGAGGUUUUCACAUGUGUUGAUACCAUGGAAGGAAUAAAAAAAAUUUGAAUUAGUUGGAGAACUCAACACGUUCGCCUCUGGCUCUAAUGAGCAGGUAAAUAAAUACCACCAAAAAAAGAACAUAUAUUGGACUUUGAUUGUUUAGCUGUCAAGGAAAGUGGUGCAGAACAUUCAUCUUUCCGGUGGAAGUUUGCUCGGGGUUUCAUGCCGAGGACCGACUGUUACUGAGAUCGUUGACAGCAUGGUGGAGAGGAAUCAAUAUGCUUUUUGUCCUUGGUGGUAGUGGAAAACAUGCUGGUGCCAAUGCUAUACCCAAUGAGUGUCUCAAAAGAAGGAUGAAGGUAGCCGUGGUUGGUGUACCUAAAACCAUAGACAAUAAUAUUUUGCAUAUGGAUAAAACAUUUGGGUUUGCACUGCUGUUGAAGAAGCACAACGAGCUAUAAACUCUGCAUACAUCGAGAUAGUGCAUAUCAUGGCAUAGGUGUUGUGAAACUGAUGGGUCGUAGCAGUGGAUUCAUCGCCAUGCAAGCAUCCUUAGCCAGCGGACAAGUCGACAUUUGUCUCUUUCCCGAGGUUCCUUUCAAACUCCAUGGACCUGAUGGUGUACUGAAACAUCUGAACUACCUUAUCGAAACAAUAGGCUCUGCUGUAGUUUGCUUUGCGGAAGGAGCAGGACAGAGUUUUCUUGAGAAUACAAAUGCAAAAGAUGCAUCUGGAAAUAAAGUACUCGGUGACAUUGGUGUUCACAUCAACAAGAAGUUUGUUAGUGGUAUUUCAAAUCAUUUGUUUUAAAUGAUCAUGUACAUAAAACAAGUUAAUUCAUGAAACAAACAUAUAACUAAUAGAGAAAAUAACUAUGCUCCAGUUGACUUUAAUUUUAAGA